rnacentral:rRNA from 1 species
GACAGAGGUGCCGAGCGUUAGGCGGAAUCACUGGGCUUAAAGCGUGUGUAGGCGGGCCGUUAAGUGUCUUGUGAAAUCCCCCGGCUCAACCGGGGAAUUGCUGGGCAUACUGGCGGUCUUGAGCAGUUCAGGGGCAGAUGGAACAAGUGGUGGAGCGGUGAAAUGCGUAGAUAUCAGGAGGAACACCAAUGGCGAAGGCAGCUCGCUGGGACGUGACUGACGCUGAGACGCGAAAGCGUGGGGAGCAAACAGG